CUAUGAAGGACGUGUUAGGGUAUAGAGGGGCGUAAGGGUCGAGGCCGUUUCUUAGUCUGAUGUGAAACCCCCGGCUCAACCGGGGAGGGUCAUUGGAAACUGGGGAACUUGAGUGCAGAAGAGGAGAGUGGAAUUCCACGUGUAGCGGUGAAAUGCGUAGAGAUGUGGAGGAACACCAGUGGCGAAGGCGACUCUCUGGUCUGUAACUGACGCUGAGGAGCGAAAGCGUGGGGAGCGAACAGGAUUAGAUACCCUGGUAGUCCACGCCGUAAACGAUGAGUGCUAAGUGUUAGGGGGUUUCCGCCCCUUAGUGCUGCAGCUAACGCAUUAAGCACUCCGCCUGGGGAGUACGGUCGCAAGACUGAAACUCAAAGGAAUUGACGGGGGCCCGCACAAGCGGUGGAGCAUGUGGUUUAAUUCGAAGCAACGCGAAGUACCUUACCAGGUCUUGACAUCCUCUGACAAUCCUAGAGAUAGGACGUCCCCUUCGGGGGCAGAGUGACAGGUGGUGCAUGGUUGUCGUCAGCUCGUGUCGUGAGAUGUUGGGUUAAGUCCCGCAACGAGCGCAACCCUUUGAUCUUAGUUUGCCAGCAUUCAGUUGGGCACUCUAAGGUGACUGCCCGGUGACAAACCGGAGGAAGGUGGGGAAGACCUCAAAUCAUCAUGCCCCUUUAUGAC
rnacentral:rRNA from 1 species